GUGACCUUGGCCUUGAAGGGGCUGCCGACGAUGUGGUGGGGGCCGCCGUACUUGAUGGAGAUGAGGUAGUUGCCGGGGGCCAUGGGGGUGUAGGUGACGCGGUGACCCUCGGCGCACUCCACGCAGUCCAGCUUCACCUUGGAGGGGCCGUCGAUGGUGACCGAGAGCGCGCCCGCCCCCGCGUUGGCCGUCUUCACCAGGAACUCCGAGCACACCCCUGCACGCGCGCGUGUCACACGCCGGCACCGGGACGCGGCCCCGCGGCCACCACCCCGUGCCCUGGCCCUAUUGGCACCGUCCUAUUGCCAUGGCCCUAUUGGCACCAUCCUAUUGCCACGUCCUUAUUGUCACCAUCCUAAUACCAUGGCCAUAUACCCGUUGCCAUCACUCCAUGCCAUGGCCGUGUCCCCUUUGUCACCAUCCUACUGCCAUGGCCAUGUCCCUACUGCUGCUACCCCAUGCCAUGUCCCUAUUGUCACCAUCCCAUGCCAUGGCCAUGGCCCCAUUGUCACCAUCCUACCACCAUGGCCAUAUACCCAUUGCCAUGACUCCAUGCCAUGGCCGUGGCCCUAUUGUCACCAUCCUACUGCCAUGGCCAUGUCCCUACUGCUGCUGUCCCAUGCCAUGUCCCUACUGUCACCACCCCGUGCCAUGGCCAUGUCCCUAUUGCCACCACCCCGUGCCAUGGCCGUGUCCCCAUUGUCACCAUCCUACUGCCAUGGCCAUAUCCCCAUUGCCAUGACCCCACGCCAUGGCUACGUUCCUAUUGCCACCAUCCUAAUACCAUGGCCAUGUCCCUAUUGCCACCACCCUGUGCCAUAGCUGUGGCCCUAUUGUCACCACCCUAAUGCCACGGCCAUAUCCCCAUUGCCCCCACCCCAUGCCAUGGCCAUGUCCCCACCGCCACCACCCCAAAGGCACGGCCACAUCCCCAUUGCCCCCACCCUAUA
rnacentral:lncRNA from 1 species